rnacentral:rRNA from 1 species
GAUGAACGCUGGCGGCGUGCCUAAUACAUGCAAGUCGAGCGAACAGACGAGAGUGCUUGCACUCUCUGACGUUAGCGGCGGGCGGGUGAGUAACACGUGGGUAACCUACCUAUAAGACUGGGAUAACUUCGGGAAACCGGAGCUAAUACCGGAUAAUAUUUAGCUUCGCAUGAAGCAAUAGUGAAAGACGGUUCUGCUGUCACUUAUAGAUGGACCCGCGGUGUAUUAGCUAGUUGGUGAGGUAACGGCUCACCAAGGCAACGAUACAUAGCCGACCUGAGAGGGUGAUCGGCCACACUGGGACUGAGACACGGACCAGACUCCUACGGGAGGCAGCAGUAGGGAAUCUUCCGCAAAGGACGAAAGUCUGACGGAGCAAUGCCGCGUGAGUGAAGAAGGUUUUCGGAUCGUAAAACUCUGUUGUAAGGGAAGAACAAGUACGUUAGUAACUGAACGUGCCUUGACGGUACCUUACCAGAAAGCCACGGCUAACUACGUG